AGAGCUCAGAAAAAAAAAUGCCGUAGGAGAAUGCGGUUGGAGGGCAGUUUUUAUACAAAUAAAAGUGCUUCAGACAAUUGGACUGGAGGGAAAAGUAACACCACAACAAGCACGGAAGAAGUGGGACAACUUAAAAAAGAAAUAUAAGGAGCUGAAAAACCCACCAACUGGUUCAGGGGUUGACAAGGGAGAGGAUACAGCUGCAUCAUGGCCCUGGUUCACCCUAAUGGAUGAGGCUUUGGGUCAGAAGCAUUCAGUUACUCCUCCAGUGCUGCUUGCCUCAAUGUCCCAGGCCUCUUCCACCUGUGGUGAGCCGGGGCCUUCAAAUGCCUCUCCCUUGCCCCUCAAUGAAGACCGAGAGCCUGAACCAAGCAGACGAAGGGGUAAAAAGAGGAGCCUCAUUGAAAUGUUCAGGGAGGAAAUGGCCAGAGAGGAAGCCAGGGAAGAAGCCAGACAAAAGGCUGCAGAU